GUCCCUAAGCUGGUGGCAGUGGGUCAGUGCACCUGGUUAGUAACCAAAAGGUUGGUGGUUCAAGCCCAUCCAGGGAUG